AUUACAUUGAAAUGUUAAGGUUUAGAUUGGUUGGUUCGCUCAUAUAGGAGGGUAAGUGUUGGUGCCAGUCGCAACCCGAUUUGGGUCGUAACAACUCUUGAUGGAAUAGAAUACAACUUAUUACUGCUGGACACAGAAGGAAUUGAUGCUUAUGAUCAAACGGGUACAUAUAGCACAAAGAUAUUCUCCCUGGCAGUCCUUCUUUCAAGUAUGUUUGUAUAUAACCAGAUGGGAGGUAUCGAUGAAGUUGCGCUUGACUGCCUCUCUCUUGUCACUGAAAUGACUAGGCAUAUUCGUGUUAGAGCCUCUGGAGGAAAGGCCAGUGCUUCUAAGCUUAGGCAGUUCUCCCCAGUCUUCAUUUGGUUGCCUAGAGAUUUUUAUUUGGAUUGGGUCAAGGACAACCGCAAAAUAACUCCGCAGGACUACCUUAAACUUGCAUUGAAGCCAGUUCAAGGUGGUGAGAAAGAUGUUGCUGCUAAAAAUGAGGAAUCUGUCUUUUCUCAAAAUCAAUUCCACAUGUUACAUUAUCUGUUUGCCCAUACUCAGAACUUCACACUAUUUACGCCCAACAACGAUGGAGCUUAGUCUUGAAAUAAAUCUCAUUGGCUGCCAAAUCUAUCAAUUUUAAAGAAGGCACCUGUACUUUUAUAUAGUAUAACGUGUCUACUUUGUAUUGUAUAUAUUUUUAUAUAUAGAUAAUAUAUAUAUAUUAUAUAUAUAUAUAUAUAUAUAUAUAUAUAUAUACACACAUUAUUACACAUUAUUCAUCAACAUCAUUACAUUAAAGCACAAACUUGUCAUCCUUUCCUGAAUAAAAAAAUAUUGCUCUCUUUCUAAGAUACUACUGCUUGGUUAAAUAUUUCUAACAAACAUUGUACUAAGAUUGAACUCGAUCAAAUAGAAUCAACAACACAAGAUUGGAUUUGCAAAGUUCAAAUUGUGGAAAUCGAACGCCCGAGAGAAAGCCCUGACAAGAAAUGUAGAUUCCAAAAUUUGAUUUUGGAAGAUGAACAAGAAUGCCAAAUAAAGGCAGUAUUGUAUGAAGAUGAAAUUGAACAGUAUGCAGAAAUGCAUAAACUCAUGAAUACCUAUCUCAUCUCUACCGCAAGAGUCAAAAUCUCCCAAACUUCACACGGCAAGCCGAUACACAAAUUUUACUGGGUUAUUGACAAAGAAACAGUAAUUGAACAUAUCACACCAUCUAAUGGAGUUGAGAAUCCACUUCCACGACCAACCAAGAUGAAUAUCACAACCUUUGACCGCAUUCCUCACAUGAUGCUUGAUUCUGCUGUUGAAAUCGAUAUACUGGCAAUCGUUCUCCGUUGUAGUCCUCAAAAAUACGCAGGUCGCAGUAAUCAUAAGUGUUGAGAAAUUAUCAUUUGUGACAAUCAAAAAAAUCAAUUUCUCCUCACUCUAUAGGAGGAUUUUGGAGAAAUUGAAGGAAAUGAAAUCGAAGCAAAAAUGGAAAAAGAAAUUGAUCUUAUUGUAAUCAUUGCCAGGAAUAUAGGAAUCUCUGCUUUUCCAGGGUUGUCACUGCAGAGUAGGUACAAUUCAACAAUACGCGUAGCUCCUAAUUACCCACAGGCAGUAGAACUCACCAAAUGAUGGGACUAUUCUAUCUUGAAGCAGAAAUGGUCAUAUCAGAAGAAUUGCAAGAGUUUUGUGUACUUGAAUGCUCAGGAUGCAAACAAAUGAAGCGCACAAAAGAUAGAAAGGAUUUUCAUUGUCCAAAAUGCAAUCGGAAAACAACAUUACUUCCUCGGUGUAUUUUCAAAUUGAUCUUACCUACGGUACUGCUACAGUUACAGCAUCUUUCUCUGGUGAACUGGGAGAAAAACUACUCUCCAUGACAGCGGAAGACAUAUUUGACAUAACCUGUGCUAAGAGGCAAUCAUUGCAUGUUAAUCAUGUCCAUGAGAUUUUGUCCAACAAACUAUUUCAAAUUCAGCUAAGGAAGUCAUCUUGGGGUACCUCAAACAAUACACAAGCAACUUACUCCAUUAUUUCCUACAUGGAAAAGCAGCAUACUUCUCCAACAACUAUUGAUAGGAAUUCCAAAAAGAUAAGAUCUUUGGAGAUAAGUGAGAUGGAGGUGACAGAAACAACUACUACAGUUGGUUCUUCAAAUGCAACUCUGAAAUUUGAACCACCCACACCAACAAAAAAAUUGUAAAAGGAACUUCCUCACUUGAUUUUGUGACUUUUGCUUAAUGAAGUUUUUGGAUUCCCAGUCGAUUGAAGUUUGCUCAAUAGGGAGAAUGAAAUGAAUCAGUUAACUUUUUGUCCAGGAAAUGAAUCAGUUAAUUUUUUGUGAAGCCUUCGUUAUUUAUCUUUGAUGGAACCCCUAACAACUCCCUAUGCUAUGGUUUUGGGAAUGAUGAAGAAGAUCAGCAACUGAAAGUGAACAAUCACAUGUUGAUCUCAUAUGUCAAA